AUUGAACGCUGGCGGAAUGCUUUACACAUGCAAGUCGAACGGCAGCACGGACUUCGGUCUGGUGGCGAGUGGCGAACGGGUGAGUAAUGUAUCGGAACGUGCCCAGUCGUGGGGGAUAACGUAGGGAAAAUUACGCUAAUACCGCAUACGAUCUAUGGAUGAAAGCGGGCGAUCGCACAGCCUCGCGUGAUUUGAGCGGCCGAUAUCAGGUUAGGUAGUUGGUGGGGUAAAGGCCCACCAAGCCAACGAUCUGUAGCUGGUCUGAGAGGACGGACAGCCACACUGGAACUGAGACACGGUCCAGACUCCUACGGGAGGCAGCAGUGGGGAAUUUUGGACAAUGGGCGAAAGCCUGAUCCAGCCAUUCCGCGUGCAGGAUGAAGGCCCUCGGGUUGUAAACUGCUUUUGUACAGAACGAAAAGGUUUCUACUAAUACUAGGAGCUCAUGACGGUACUGUAAGAAUAAGCACCGGCUAACUACGUGCCAGCCGCCGCCGUAA
rnacentral:rRNA from 1 species